CCUUGCAAUGACAGAAGAUAGCAUGAUGAGGAAGCUCAAGAAGUAGGAAAAUGAAAAUUUAGUAUGUCAGCAUCAUGAGGAAUAUUGGCUCUUAAAAGGCAGUGUCCAUUAAGAAAUAAGACUCUUCAGCCUCCAGCCCAGUGAGAAACCCGAACCACAUUGAGAAGCUAUGGAUGAUGUGAUGCAAUGUUGGCCAGAGACAAGAAGUGUGGAGGCCACGGGUUUGAGUGGAGAAAUCACGGAGGAAGAGGUUUCAUUGUCCUGUGCUGCUCCAGAGGAGGCCCCAAGAAUCAAAGAGGAGCCCUGCCAAGCCCUCUGCAAACCCCUGACCCACCAACAUAAACCAUGAAGACGUUUUCAGGCCACUAGAAGACAAGAUGGAAAGAAUACCGAUCCCUGUAUCACUAAUUAGAAGAGAGAGAUCAAGAAAUAUAUCCAUUCAGAAACAUCCACAUUGGGUUUUGUUAUGACCAAUGCAUAUUUUAUUAAGUCCCUGAGAUUUGGGGAUUCUUUGUUACAACAUUUAUACUAUCUAACUUAGAUAUCAGAUAGUACAUCCUAUUCUCCACCAAGCUGUCAGAAUGAGCCUAAUAAAACAUAGGUCAAAUGACAUCACUCUUUUCCUCACUUACUUUAUGCAGUCACACAGGCCUCCUAACUGUUCCUGGAAUGCACCAACCACUGCUUCAUUGAAAGCCUUUUACUCGCUCUUUCCUAUGCUCUUUUCCUAUGCUCUUUCCUAUGCCUGGAGUGCUCUGCCAAUAAUUCUUUGUAUGUCUAUUCCCUUAUCUCUUUAGUCAAUCUCUUAGUGAAACUUUCCUUGACAUACUUAUUUAAAAUGGAAUCUGACUUUCACUCUGACAUCUUAUGUUGCCCUUACUCUUAGAAUUUUCUCCAGAGGAGUUGUUACUAUGUCACAUACUCAAUUCUUUGUUGGGUCUGUUUGACUCCUAGCACUUAUAAAUGUGUCUAGAACAUUUCAGGAACCCAGGAAACAUUUGUUAGAGAAUGAAUUGGCUCAACUAACUCAUUACAUUUUUCAUCUUUUCAAGCAUUCAACAUAUAUUCAUUCAAAACAUGUGGGGUUCUCUGGCCUAGAUAACCCUAACCCACUCACAUAUAUACAUCUUAUCUUCUUAACACACCUGUAGUACAGGUACCAAUUUAGGUAUCAUUUCCUAAAGUCAGAACCUCAGCUUUCUUCUGUUGAUGCCUCUCUUCCAUUACCUAUUAUGCUCUGCUCAUCUGUUAUCACACAAGUUUUCCUAUGGUAGUAUAAAAAAAUCACUUACCUAGAGCCAGACAUCCUGGAGUCUGAAGUCAAGUGGGCCUUAGAAAGCAUCAUUAUGAAAAAACAUAGUAGAGGUGAUGGAAUUCCAGCUGAGCUAUUUCAAGUCAUAAAAGAUGAUGCUGUUAAAUUGGUAUACUCAAUACGCCAGCAAAUUUAGAAAACUCAGUAGUGGCCACAGGAGUGGAAAAGGUCAGUUUUCAUUCCAGUCCCAAAGAAAGGCAGUGCCAAACAAUGUUCAAACUACUGCACAAUUGCACCGUUGGAUCAUUGAAAAAGUAAGAAAGUUCCAGAAAGACAUCUACUUCUGCUUUAUUGACUCUGCCAAAGUCUUUGACUGUGUAGAUCACAACAAACUGUGAACAAUUCUUCAAGAGAUAGGAAUACCAGACCACCUUACCUGUCACCUGAGAAAUCUGAAUGCAGUUCAAGAAGCAACAGUUAGAACUGGACAUGGAACAUGGAUUACUUCCAUAUUGGGAAUGGAGUGCGUCAAGGCUCUCUACUGUCACCCUGCUUAUUUAACCUAAUGGCAGAGUACAUCAUGCAAAAUGUAAGACUGGAUGAAGCACAAGCUGGAAUCAAGAUUGCUGGGAGAAAUAUCAAUAACCUCAGAUAUGCAGAUGACACCACCUUUAUGACAAAAAGCAAAGAGGAACUAAGGAGCCUCUUGAUGAAAGUGAAAGAGGAGAGUGAAAAAGCUGGAUUAAAACUCAACAUUCAAAAAACUAAGAUCAUGACAUCCCAUCCCAUCACUUCAUGGCAAAUAAAUGGGGAAACAAUGGAAACAGUGACAGACUUUAUUUUGGGGUGCUCCCAAAUCACUGCAGAUGGUGACUGCAGCCAUGAAAUUAAAAGACACUUUCUCCUUGGAUGAAAAGCUAUGACCAACCUAGACAGCAUAUUAAAAAGCAGAGACAUUACUUUGCCGACAAAGGUCCAUCUAGUCAAAGCUAUGGUUUUUCCAGUAGUCAUGUAUGGCUAUGGGUGUUGGACUUUAAAGAAAGUUGAGUGCCAAAGAAUUGAUGCUUUUGAACUGUGGUGUUGGAGAAGACUCUUGAGAGUCCCUUGGACUGCAAGGAGAUCAAACCAGUCUAUCCUAAAGGAAAUCAAUCCUGAAUAUUCAUUGGAAGGACUGAUGCUAAAGCUGAAACUCCCAAUACUUUGGCCACUUGAUGCAAAGCACUGACUCAUUUGAAAAGACCCUAAUGCUGGGAAAGAUUGAGGGCAGGAGGCAGAGGGGCUGACAGAGGAUGAUAUGGUUGGGUGGCAUCACCGACUUGAUGGACAUGAGUUUGAGCAAACUCUGGGAUUUGGUAAUAGACAGGAAAGCCUGGCAUGCUGCAGUCCAUGGGGUCACAAAGAGUUGGACACAAGUGAUCAACUGAACUGAACUGAUUAUAAAAUACUCUUUUUGUAUUCUCUAUCUUUUUGUAUGUGCUUCCCUUGUGGCUCAGCUAGUAAAGGCUCCACCUGCAAUGUGGGAGACCUGGGUUCGAUCCCUGGUUUGGGAAGAUUGCUGGAGAAGAGAUAGGCUACCAACUCCAGUAUUCUGAGCUAGAGAAUUCCAUGGACCAUAUAGUUCAUGGGGUUGCAAAGAGUCAGACGCGACUGAGUGAUGUUCAUUUCACUUCACUUUCAUCUUUUUGUAUUCCCAACUAUAUUUACUUUCCAUGAGAGCAGAGUUUAUAACAGUGUUGUUCAGUUUUGCAUCUCCUCCAUAUAUUACAGUUUUGGG